rnacentral:lncRNA from 1 species
UCGACCCGCUGGGCCUGGCGGAGGACCCGGAGAACCUGCGGUGGUUCGUGCAGGCGGAGCUGGUGAACGGGCGGUGGGCGAUGCUGGGGGUGGCCGGGAUGCUGAUCCCGGAGGUGCUGACCAAGGCCGGGCUCAUCAACGCGCCGCAGUGGUACGACGCCGGCAAGUCGGAGUACUUCGCGUCGUCGUCCACGCUGUUCGUCAUCGAGUUCAUCCUCUUCCACUACGUCGAGAUCCGGCGGUGGCAGGACAUCAAGAACCCCGGCAGCGUCAACCAGGACCCCAUCUUCAAGAGCUACAGCCUGCCGCCCCACGAGUGCGGAUACCCCGGCAGCGUCUUCAACCCGCUCAACUUCGCGCCCACGCUCGAGGCCAAGGAGAAGGAG